rnacentral:lncRNA from 1 species
CCGUACUACCUCACCGUGCCCUCGGACAAGGCCCUUUUAAUUUCCUUCUGGAAUCCUCAUUUUAAGUAGGGUCUUUAUUAUACCUGGACACAUGAAACCACCUGUGGUUCCCCACCACAAGUAACAAAAAUGCAGAAUAUGAGAGAGCAAAAAGAUGUGGCAAAGCUGCAAUAGCAGUUGAGGUCAUCCUGAAUUACAGCCAUCACCAUGGACCCUUCACUCUUUCGUCCCCGCAUCCCUUCAGCUUCAAGCCGAAGACGGGCCAGGCGGUUACUAGCCUUCCUGGCAGCUUUCGAAGCACUUUGGGACCUGGGAGCUGUCCUGUCCGGCCAGACCCCUGACCCCUGAUUUCUACAUCAGCACUGGUUCGACGCCGUGGAGGGCGGGCAGGCAAAGGACCCUCAGGAGAGGAGGUGGCUGAAGAUGAGGUUGAUGGGGCUGUAACCUCAGCUCUAACAAGUUCUUGUGGCUUUUCUGAGUUGGAAA